rnacentral:sRNA from 1 species
GCCAGGCAUGGCGGCACAUGCCUAUAAUCCCAGCAGCUUGGGAGGCUGAGGCAGGAGUAUAGAGAGAUCAAAGCAAGCCUCAGCAACUUAGUGCCCUAAGAAACUCAGUAAGACCCUGUCUCUA